UGAAGUUCCUAUUUCGUUAGAAUAAGCUCUCUGUCAUUUUUGAAAAUGAAAACUGAGUUAACAAUUGAAUCUGUCGACAAGACAUGAUCUGAAUGAAGAAUUGGAUACACUAUUUUGUAUAAUCAGUUUGGGGUUUUACAUUAUUCGAUCAAUGGAAUCGUUGCUGGAAAUGAGGAAUCUUCGAAUUAAGAAUUGGAUGCAUCCUUUAAUUGAUAAUAAUCAGGUCUUCCAAUCUGGAAACUGUCUCAGUAACAUAUUCUGGUAUGCCUCAUCUCUAGCAACGAUUUGUUGUCGAUGCCAUUCAUGCCAUGUAGCGGUGUGCUCAUCCUUCAGUCCUUCCGUUGUCAUAUCCAAUGAUAUGUUUUUCUUUUCAUCGGGAGUAGCCUCCUUAAAUCGCACUGCUGGUUGCCUGCCAUCAAGUGGCAAUAAAGACCCCAUCAAAUGACGAUUAAGCCCAUACAUUGUAAAUACCUACGGCGCUGAACCAUUGUUCCGUUCUUUUGACACUUUGGCUCCCUGCGAGGUAAAUGCAAACAUUGAAUUAUAUGCCCUGAUGUCGAGUCUGUAAUUUGAUGCUUCUAGCCCCCCAUCUAUAUAUUGCAAUAGAUUUUUUAGAAAUUCUGGUGCCUCCCUGAGCAAUGGUAAUUGACAGCUUCUUUCCCACAACAAAUGGCAAAUUAUGGUGGUUUAUUUUUCUGGCUCUUGUUUACCCUCUCAUCAUCCCACAUCAUUGCUUGACAGUGAGGGCAUGUUGCAGUUGGCCCUCCAAUAUUAUGCCUUGCCAACUCCAUCACUGGUUAACAUUAAAUUCCGUCAGGAUGGUAAGACUCAGAUGUUAAGACUGUAUUAAACAUGAAGGUGUUUCUUAGAUUCAAUAUAAUACACUUACGUGUAUAUGGGAACUCUUCCUCUGAUUCAUAAUCCCCAUUCUUUUCUUCAUUAUUGUCGCCUUAUUUUCCACAUAAUGAUGAAAACAAUACCAAUUCAAAUCAAUGAAUUACACAGGAACAACAACAUGAAUUCAUGAAAUAUGUAUGAUUAAUAUGUAAACUUCAUUCCUUUUUAACAACAAAGACACAUAAUGUUAGUUAGCUGAGAUGUGUUACCAUUCAUGUAAUUGGCUGCGAAUGUUUUUGCUUGUUUCCUAGUUCUCUUUGAGAUAUGUCCUCCUGGAAUAAUGCUGGUACGAAACUUCAAAUGUCAGUAAGAAAACAUAUAUGAACCUAUAAGAAUCUAACUGUCAUAAAAUUGUAUAUGAACCUAAAUCAUCAAUGUGUAUACCUUUUCUCUUUUUUUUUGCUUGUUUUUACCACGUAAUCUUCUUAUUAACUUUUUCCUGUGUGUCCUGCAUCUCUGGUCCAUUGUUUUACUUGGAGUUUGUUUUUCUGCACGAACUCUAGGUUUCAAAGCAUGUUUGAGCUGAUGUUUGAGAGAUUUAAUUUGCUUCCUUAUAAAUCUUCUAGCAGCUGUGUGGUUUUCUUGGAUACCAUUGUUUGUUGGCCUUUUAAUGGAAUCAUGAU